rnacentral:lncRNA from 10 species
UUUACCCGCGGGAAAGCCGAGGCCCGGUGCUGUAUUCUGCCGCCCAUUUUACCCGCGGGGAAGCUGAGGCCCAGUGCUGUUUAAUAUCUUACUCAUGUUCACUUGAUGAGAAAGUGACAGAUCUGAGACAAACCCAGUUCUAGAGGUUAUGACACCAGCCAUGGAAGAGCAGAGAGGCCAAUGAGGUGGGGAGGUUGGAAACAAAAGGCCUUCUCCACCCCAGCUUGACCAACCCAAAAGCUGGAAGGCAAGGAAGACCUAGACAGAAUUUAAGAGACACCAGAGGAUGGCACAUUUAUACUGAGCUUGCAGUUUCCUAAACAUGAAGAAGAUGAACGGCUCUCAGUUAAGCAGCACGGGUCAGAUAGGAGCUUGAAAUUGAAUAUUUGAGCUGACACGGGAGAGACAUACUUUUGAGAUUCCAAAUACGAUUUCUGUGGAGAAAACAAAAAAGGACUCUGUUUUUAAUUCAAAAGGGAGAAGUGAAAUUCUACCUCACUUUUUUAAAAGAAGAGCCUGGAAUUGGCCUAUCCGUCUUUUUCCCCGUUGGAUCACAGAGCAGAAAGGAAGGUGGGCGUUUGUGUUCUGGGUGUUGUCCACGCUGGACGUGCCAGCAUCUCCCACUGAGCCAGAUGUUCCAGGGCUAAGGCCAGUUUCAUUUGAAGGCACAGCCUUACUAUAUCAUAUUAAUCUGAUGCCAAGUUUUUGGAUGUUAUGAGCAACCACCUCAUUUAUUUUUUGUGGUUGUUUAACCACAAUGAGUAAGUCAUGCCGUGAGGGCCCAGAGACUGUGUCACUGUUGUGAUGAUAGAGUGCAGGGCCCUUCAAAGGGAGGUCUGUGGGCCAGCAGCACCCAAG